rnacentral:lncRNA from 1 species
GAGCCAAUCGGAACUCGCGGCGGGGCUGCUGGGUCUUCCAGGAGCGCGCUUGAGCGGACGCUGCCUACCGGUGGCCGGGCGGGAUGUAACCCGCUGCUGAGCUGGCAGCUCUGUGUCGCUAGGCUUCGGCCCGGCCGCCGCCGCACAUAAGCUGCGAGGAGGAGCUUUACGACUUCCCGGUCUUCGGGGCCGGGCGCAGCAAGGGCCAGACUCUGCGCUAGCAGGCGCUGCGCGCCAACCGGCCGGCACCUGUCGCAGAAGGUGCAACCGAUCGCACUGUCGCGCCGAAGCUCCUCAAUGGCCAGCGCCAGCUGCAGCCCCGGCCGCCCACUCGCCUCACCUGAGCCUGGGAGCUUGAAAAAUCACAUUUGAGAAGAGGAUUGGAUCCUAGCCAUAACAUAAAUAUAAGGGUGGAACCAAAGUUUUAAUCAAAGAAGGUGGUGUUCAGUUGCUGCUUACAAUAGUUGAUACCCCAGGAUUUGGAGAUGCAGUGGAUAACAGUAAUUGGUAAGAAGGAUUUGUCCUCACAACUUUCCAGUGUAUUUGGGGUAUUGGGGUGGUUAAACUUUCUCUUCUUAACAUUUUAAAACUCUUCUUAGCAAAGGUCACCAAACUUCAAGUAACAUGACAGGUUUGUAUACCAACUUUGCCACUUAUUUGACAAAGUUUAACUUCAAAGUUAAACAAAGAAGUUUAACUUCUUUGAACCCAUUUACUUUUCGAUAAAAUGGAGAUAAUACCUAUCAUAAAAUUGUUUUUAAGACAUAUUCCAAAA